AACCAUGUGGGUGUUCGGUUACGGCUCCCUCAUCUGGAAGGUGGAUUUCCCCUACGAGGAAAAGAUGGUCGGGUACAUCACGGGCUACAGCAGGAGGUUCUGGCAGGGCAGCACCGACCACCGCGGGGUGCCGGGCAAGAGCAACAACACUGAACACAAUGGAAGUCUGCUUUGGCACAGGGGGGCAGAAACAGCUUGCAAGACAGAGGCCUCACGGUUCAAUAUUGCCAACAUUUACAAAGCUUUUUCAGAUUACUAGGACCCUUAUCAACCCAGGAUGAACUUCUGGAAUGCCAAUAAAGACCUACAAACGGAUUGACAGGAAACAUCAAGUACAAUCUUCCCCUGCAUUUGCUGGAAGACCUCUUAGGCCUGGUCUACACAGAGCCUGGAAGAGUUGUGACUCUUGUUGAAGAUCCUGAGUUAAUUCAAUACCAAGGAUUUUUAUACCAACUUCAUGUCAACAAUGGAUUGCUCUUGCAUUGUCCUAUGAAGGGUAGGUUAAAUUUGAGGCUAUUUCUGAAUUAAUUCAAAAACAAAUAACUUCCUUCUAGUAAGAAACAAUAUCAUUGCCUUAAUGAGUAUCCUAGAAAUCACCACUUCUUUUUUCUGCCUACUGGAAAGUUGCAGGAGAAGACAGGUGGACAGGGAAUGUAACAAAAAAUUAAGGCCUCAUCUAAAAAUCACUGCUAAGCACUGGUGGCAUGGUCACUGUAGGUAUACACAUUUCACUGGGCUUAGUCACUAGGAUUUCUCUUCUUGUUUGAAAAUAUAUAAGGGAGGGAAAGAUUACUAUCUCUAAGCCAAACUAAAAUUAAAGUUCUGGGAAUUGUAGCUUUGAAGACAAACCAUUAGGGUGGGACAGAAAACAAGAAUCCUGUUUUGUGAAGAACUGAGGAUUCAAACUUGUUUUUGUUUCUCAUUGGAACAAAUCCUAGGCCUUUCAAAAAAAAAAUUUUUCAAAAAGAGAAGGAGACCACCCUAAAAUAACUAAGAGCCUAGUGAUUAGUGCACCCACUUGGGAUGAGGGAGAGCCAAGUUCAAGUCUCUACUCUGCCUGAUUCAAACCAGGGACUUGAACUUGAGUCUCCCACAUCCCAGGUGAGUGCCCUAAGCAAGAAAGUGUUGGCUGUUCUGGGCUCAGGUUUCUGUCUUUGACCAGAAAUUACACCCUGGACCUGCGCAACCUUCAGGUUUUGUUUGGUUUUUAAAGAGAUUCAUUAAAACCAUAACUUCUAGUGAAAAUGUAUCAGCAUUUUCUGACCAAAAAACAUUUCCUCCGAAAAUUCCCACCUAACUCUGACACAUGGCUAAACAUCUAGAUUCUUAAGAUGUUUUAAUGCCAUUUCUGCUAACAGUGUUGUUGGGUGCUCUGAGAUAUAGGGUUUAGUUCUGAGAAAAGUACCCCUGGGGGAAUUCUGCACCAAAAAUGUUUUAAAAAUUCUGCACACGCUAUUUUCAAAUUCUGCAAAAUUCUGCAUUUUUUUGUCAAAAUAACCAUAUAGUCACACCAGUUUCAAUUAUUUUUGGUCAUUUAUUUCAAAAUACCUGUCAGCAAGUAUGUCUGUAAUAAUACAGACAACAAAAAAGGUUCAGAAAUAGUUUUUUGACAAACAGAUUCUUUACUAGGCAUAUUAAUACAGAACUUUAAGUAAUAAUUCAUUUAAACUACAAUACAGAACCAUAUUUCCCACACACUGCAGAAGCAGUGCAAAGGCUGGGGGGAAGCCAGGGGUAACGGAGGAGCUGAGGAAGAGGGAAAUAAUUGUUGGGAAGGAGCCUGGAUGUGAACUUGGAGGGUUGUUGGAUGUGGGUGGGAGAAGUAUGGAACAGGUUUGGGGUUGUUGGUUUUUUUUUUGUGUGGGAGGGGAAAGGGGGCAACUGUUAGGGAGCUUCCCCCAUGGAGAACCUAGCCUCCCCCAUUCAGACACCCCAUCCCCGUCCCCAUGUGUAUCUGUGCCCUACUCAGCCACCCCAUCCCCGUCACCAUGUGGCCCUGUGCCUAUACUCCCAUUCAGGCCCUGCCCCAGUCUGUCCUCCCUGACUAGCCCUUAUGAGUCCCUGUCUGACCCCCCAGCAUCCCACACUGUCUGCCUCCCCAUAGCCCCUGUCUCCUGACCUGGCCCUAUAGGUGCUGUGAAGAAGGCUCUCUCUCUUCCCUACAGGCAGUCUCACCACAGCACCCUCUUGUGGGCAAAAGGGGGGAACUGCAGUAACUUUUCAGCAGAUGCUUUCUUCUUGCAAAAAAUUAAAAAUGUGUGGUUCGUUAAUUAUGUGCGUGUACAGUGGUGCAGAAUUUCCCUAGUAGCAGAAAAUAAAGCCAAAACUUUAAGAUAGCCUUCUCUCUUUGAAUUCUACACAUGGGUGGUACAUAUAAAUUAAAAAACACAAAUCCUUUAAAAUAUAGGUAUCAGAAUAAAGCAAUAUUCAAAGUUUUAGAAAUGAAGAUUGUCACCUCAAAGGAAUAAUCUAGUGAAAAUUACUUUUAAAUCUACUUCUCCAUCUAAGGAAUUUAUUUUUUAAUCUAUUUGUGUGAGAUUGUGAAAACUCAUUUUGUAUUCCCUCUGCUGAUGCUUUAGCAAACAUUAUUUAAACAGAAAUGAACCUGCGUGUUUAGUGCUCUAAAUUCAGAUGCAACAACUAGACAACAUUAGCAGAAAUAAAUUGCACCAAAUUUCCUUUAUUUCUAAAACUAAGCCCAAUAUCUGUAAUAGGGUGCAGAAAGAAUUUGGCAUAAUUAACGUCAACUGAGAGUUCUUAAACAAGAACCACCAUUUUGAUUUCAGCUCUUUUCCUAAAUAAAGGACGGAGAGGACGACGGGGGAAAACUAUUUGUAGAAAGGGCUCUACCAAAAAAAAGUGUGUUUUAAAUUAAGUUUAUUGCUAGUAUCCUUUCAGUGUUUAGAUUUACCUUUCUGGUUGUGUUCUUCAACAGGGUUGUGUAUGGGGUGUUGCUUAUAGAUUGCCCGCAGGACAAGAAGUUGAAGUAAAGGCAUACCUCGACUUCAGAGAGAAAGGAGGCUACAGGACUACAACUGUCAUUUUCUAUCCAAAAGAUCCCUCAAUAAAACCAUUUAAUGUGUUGUUAUAUAUUGGAACUUGUGAUAAUCCUAACUACCUUGGUCCAGCACCUCUAGAAGACAUUGCUGAACAGAUUUUUAAUGCAGUUGGUCCUAGUGGAAGAAACACGGAAUACUUGUUUGAACUUGCCAAUUCCAUCAGGAAUCUUGUACCAGAAGAUGUGGAUGAGCAUCUCUUCUCUCUAGAGAAACUAGUAAAGGAACUCUUGGAAAGAAACCAAAACCUCAACUGCAUAUAAAAAUCAUUUAAUAGUUUCAAAUAAGCUUCUCUUUUCAUCUUCAGAAUUACGGUUUCAUUGCACAACGGGUAUAUGAUUUGGAGGCAUGUUUAUCUGUACUACACUAUCUUAUUUAUUUUAAUGUUGCAUUCAAGACACUGUAGUUAAGGGUCACUAGAAGAUUCCAUUGUAAAACCAUAUUUUCAGGAGUUUAUAACAAUGGGGGGCAGAAGUGUUUCAGGUUUGAAUUUGGUAUACAAGAUUUUAGCCAAAGAGCAUAUUUUUCUUUUUCAAAAUUUGAAGAAAAUCAACUUUGGCCCUUUAUUUUUUGAGGGAAAUUUUAAUUUUUUGGUGAUUUCAGGUUUAAGUUGUUCUAAAAAAAAAAAAAAAAGUUAUCUUUAAACUACCUUUAGGACCAAGUCCUGCACUCAGACAAAAUUCCCAUUGAUUGAAGUGGUAGUUCUCUCUGAGUCAAGACUCCAGGAUUAGGUCCUUAAUACAGCUAAAAGCUAAAUGUUAAGUAUCUACUCUACAUGUACAGUAAGUACAUGGCAAAAAUUUAUCAUAUAAAGGUUCAACUCCAUUAGAACUAAGCUAUUCCAUUGAAUCAAUAGUUUUACUCUUGGUGUAUCAGUUUGUCAUUAGACACAAUGGGCAAACAAUUGUGUUAUCAAAGAAAUUACUCUUUCCCUUGAUGCAUUAGGUUAUUCAUGGUGUCAAAUCCUUAGAAACAAAAAUACGGUAUAUUGACACAAAUAAGCCAUACCAUAUCAGUGCCUCAUUUAUUUUAAAAUUACUGUAAACAAAAAUAAACCUAAACGGUUAAAGUAACUGAGGAUAUGACUUGAAUCCACAAUAUAGCAAGAAUGUUCUGAAACUCCCAUCUUUAAUAACUGUUUGCCUUCACAUGCCUAUAUAAAUCCCCUUGAAAAUCAAGGAGAUUUUUCCAACUUUUGAGGGCAGAAUUUGGCCUAACUAUUGCAAUACAAAGGCAUAAGGAGUUUCUGUCCCAGCUAUGAAUCUUCUUGCUUCUCAGAGUUUAAGUUAUUUUCUUUAAUCCCUUAAAGCAUAUUUUUGUAUUUUAAUAUAUAAAAGAUCCUCUUUGAAAUGUAAUGUAGUACCACAUCAUACAGCAAGAGUAUUUAUAUAUGUUCAGUAAUCACAUGAAAACAGGUCUUAUUUUCCAUCAGUAAUAGCAUAAAUAUUACAUGAUUUAUGUUUGUACACACAGGUAGUCUUUUCCUCUUUUCUUUCAGUUUUAUAUUUGUAGCUGGCCAAAAAAAAAGUUAAGUCAUCAAAAUGACUGACUGUUAUAAUUUAUACUUUACCACCUAUAGAAAACAAAUUGUAAACUGAAUGUUACAAAAACAACAUUCAAGUCAGGCACCUACAUAAAUACGCUGCAGUACAUAAAACGCAUUCAAAACAGUUGAUUUAAAACAUGAAACAAAGAGCUUUUGCAUUUAAGACCAGGAUUGUAAUUUUUGUCACCAUAUUUCUGGCAUCUAUCAAAGGAAUGUAGAUCUAGGAAGCACAAGUCUACCUGUUAAUAGCUUUUGAAAAUUUAACAGGAGAACAAAGUAGAGGUUAAUAUUAUUAGUACAUAAGAUAUCAAACUUGAUGGACCAGUCUAAUCAGAUGAACGGGGAUUUGCCUCAUAUAUAUAUUGAGGACCUAUUCUCCCAUUAAUACUUCAGUUCUUUGCUAACUUAUGAGAAAUAGAUCCUGUUGGUUUCAAAGGUCUUUAUUCUCCAUUAUGUUACAUUGAUGCAAGAUUGAUGUAACAGAGCAGAGAAUCAGGCCCAGAAAAUUCCACUAGACAGUAAGGCUAAAUAUAGGGUCAGAAUAUUCAGACUUCAGUGGCUAAUGUUAGCCAACUAAAUAAAAAAUGACUAAAUUUUAAAAGGUGAUAAGAACAGGCAUCUCCACUAACACCAGUGGGUUUCAGGCUCUGAAAAAUCCAGUCACUUACGGUGCCUGAAUAUGGAUUUAGGAUUUUAGGCAUCAAAGUUUGAAAAUGUUUGCCUACAUCAAUAUAUCAAGAUCCUUUAAAAAAAAUUAUUCCCUUUGACAUGGAGAAUAAAUACUCACUAAAUGUUAAUUGUAUACUUUAAUGUUCCAGAAACGUUAUUAUAGCACCCUUUAAGGAGUAUGUAAACACUGCAAAGGGAUACUGAUUGUUGUUUUCAAAAAGGCCAGCAUUUCCUUUCCUGUGCAUACCUGGGCUUUGAAUACACGGCUGUAAAUUUAAAGCGUACAUCAGAUGGAGUUGUAAAAUCUAUGUAUUUUCAUUAAUUUCUCUCUCUCCUGUCAAAGGCUUAUUUUUGUUUGUCAUGAGAUGGUGGGGGAAAUGUAUAAACCCCUUUAUCAGUUCAAGAACUCCCUAAUCACAUCAAUGAUGAUACUCUUAAAUAUUAUGCUUAUUUAAGCACUAGUGUCGGGGCAUUGGGAUUCUGUAUGGCUCUAAGUUUGGUAAUUUAAUUUUAUUCAUAUCCAAAACACUGUUGGUUCAAUCUCUUUUCCAGAUUCAUAAUAGUUGCAAUAAUACCUGUAAUGAUACAUUCCAUUUUGUGCAUAUAACUUCAGUACAAUAAAAUGCAUCGCAUAUUUA